UUUAAAGGUAGAAAAUGCAGCCUCUCAAGCCACCAGGAAGUGUAUUUUGCCACCAUUUUUAAUUCUCUGGAGUGGUCAAUUUGCUGCCUGCCUGGUUGUUGUGAGGAUAAAACAAGAGGAGAGAGAUGUGCACGUCGCCCUGAGUUCCUUGAAGGAAAGGUGUGAGAAAAAUAUAAUACAUAAAAGUAACUCUUCUCACUCAAAGUUUCUCUCUCUCAGAACAUGGAAUCAACUGGACAACAGAUCCACAGAUUGUGAAGACACAUCGAGUGUUAAUGUUUUUAACUACUACGAUAUUCUUGGCAAAAACAAUCAAAGAUGGGUGGCAUCUUUUUGGCAGGAACCCUCUCUGGAUUACAGAAGAUUGUGAAUAUAUGUUUUUGGAUUUAAAAUAAUGUAUAAAUGCAAGUUCCCUUUCUAACAGUAUCUGAUUAAACCUUGGAUUAAGACCAAUUAUACUCGAUAUAAGACCAAGAUUAUUAGGUACAUUGCUGGAGGAAGCCCAGGAUUUUGCAAGGAUAGCAAAAUUUGACAAAUUUCUGUCUAAGACCAAUUAGAAAACCUAGAUAUAAGAUCAAGCUCAUUAGAUUUUUAGAUUAUAUACUGCAAAAGGAAGUUUAAAAUUUUGGAUCAUGUUCAAUCAGAAGAAUACAUAAAAGUUAAAGCUCUGUUUAUGAGGAGACAGGUUAAGAUACAGUAAAUUUAGUAUAUAACAUUAGGGGGGAUAGUCCCAGUUCAGUUUAGAUUAUGUAUUUCUUCUUUCUAUUAUUAUUAGCCUUUUUUCUUUCUCCUGAUUAAUUUUUAUUGCUUUUAAAUAAUUUUUUAAUUUUAAUCCAAGCUAGACUCCCACUAAUAACAAAACCUGGUUUGAAUCAUUUUGUGUUUUUUUUCAACAACAUAAUUCAUUGUAGAAGAUAUAUCUUCAAUUAAGAUUAACGGAAGAUUUGCUGCAUGAUUAAGCUUACUUUAUAUGGGGCUACUUGUGGCCAAUCUUGAAUACAAAUAUGUGAGAGCUAGAUUUAUUCAGAUAUCUAAUCGAGUUUACGAAUAACAUAGAUUUGCUUUGUAAUUGUAACCCAAACUAGAUUCCCCUUAGCAAUGAAAUCCGGCUCGAAUCAUUUUGUAUUCUUUUCAGCAGUACAAUUCGUAUCAGAACAUAUUCUUGGAUUAAGAUUAAUAGAAGAUUUACUUUAUGAUUAUGCUUACUUUAUGUGUGACUAGUUUAGAAUACAAAAUAUGUGGGAAUCAGGUUUAUUCAGAUAAGUAACCGUGUGUUCUUAUGAAUAUCAUAGAUAGCUUUGUACUUUUUCUUCAUGCGCAUAUUUUCUGAUCUUGUUCCAAUUCGGAUAAAGAAUGGAGAAAGGUGUUAGGAUGGAAGAGAUUUUGUUUUGUGUAAACUCUGUUAUACUCUAUACAUGAGAAGCUGGAAGCUCAGAGAUGUAACCAUUCUGCUGUUCUCUCUUUUUAAAAUAUUUAAUAAAAAUCAAAUUCAAAGUU